rnacentral:rRNA from 1 species
UACGAAGGGUGCAAACGUUGCUCGGAAUUAUUGGGCGUAAAGCGCACGUAGGCGGCUUGGCAAGUCGGAUGUGAAAUCCCUCGGCUCAACCAAGGAAGUGCAUCCGAAACUGCCGAGCUUGAAUACUUAAGAGGAUCGCGGAAUUCCCGGUGUAGAGGUGAAAUUCGUAGAUAUCGGGAGGAACACCAGUGGCGAAGGCGGCUCGCUGGGCCGGACCUGACGCUGAGACGCGAAGGCGUGGGGAGCGAACGGG